AGUCCAGUAGCUCAACUGAAUAGAGCCGUGGAACGAACCGCGAGGUUGGGAGUUUGAAUCUCCCCUGGGCUA
rnacentral:tRNA from 1 species